GAUUUGCAAAGUGAUAUCUUUGUGCUUAAGCAUGGUUGUGUAGUGAUUUUCUACAUGGAUGAAAAGGGAGUCAUAAGGAGAGUUGUGUGUUACCUCUUGUGAUAGUGAAGGAAUGGGGCUGUCCUUGUUGCUGCUCACUAUUUCGUUCCACUCUCUAACUCUCUAUACUGCUGGAAAUUUUGAAGUAUGUGGAAGGGAGUUCAUAAGUGGUGUGGAGGGGUUUUUAUAGGCAAGAGUGUGUACUCGUGAAGCCUUAAUUGAAGUUGUUGUAUUUUCUUGUUAUUUUCCUGCAGCAAAUCUCCCUUUUCUUUGAUCUUUUGCAGCCACUUUAUCUUAAUGUAGUUUGGUGCCUAGUUUGGGUACUUGGUACUUGGCUAAUGAAUUCCAUUGUUUGAUUGUGGCUGGUAGAAACAGGUGCUGCAUAGUGUGGAGGAUUUUGCAGGAUUGACUUUCCCCUCUUGGUGAGUCUUUGGUCCUCCAUAGCAAAAGGAAAGGUGAGAGAGAAAUCUUGGCUACUACCUAGCUGUCUCGGAGAGUGGGCUCGCUGCCCUGGGCCCGGUGGCCGAUCAGAUACGGGCCGCGACUUUCGGCCCGGAAGAAGAGGCCCGAUGCCAUUUGUUCCAUGCACGUUUUAUCUUUUUAGUUGUUCAUUGUAUUGCCUAGUAAUGCUAUUCGAAAAUCCGUGAUAUUCUACACGUA